GUGCGCUGCUAAGUGGACGGACACCUCUGGACCUGUGGACAGAAUCAGUAAGCGGAAUCUGAGACUAGCACCAGGAGAAGAACUCAUCUGCUCUUGCUGGGACACAGAAGCACCAUAAAAUUACUGCUCCUCAUACAGCAAGGAAACAAAGGCCUUAUCAUAAAUUGUUGGAUUACACCUUGUCAUGCCAUCCUUUGCUCCUUGCUUAGAAACUCGCUACCCAAAUAUGCUAGACCAGGUAGUCCACGAGAAAACCCAAUCAAGCCAGAUUUUUGUUAGCUAUACUUAUCAGCCUGUGGCAUGUUACUACUCUACUACCAAAUGCACAUGGGGGGAGAAGGGGAAUUGUAUUGUAUAGGACCUGUCACAGCCAAUUUGCAGCUAACUAAUGUUGCUCCUAUUUGUUUCAGCAGUAUGCAGGGCCAACAUCCAACAGGUCAUCUCCCAGAUGAACUAUGCAACUCUACCCCCAAGGCUGAAAACACCACCUACCCCUGGUACCCCCUGCAGGAACAUUCUAUGCGUGUGGGACCACUGCUUACCUCUGCCUGCCUGCUGAAACCAGAACUCCCUACAAACCCCUCUGAGAGGAAGAAGCGGUAUGCUAAACCCUUGCUCAUCGUCCCUUUCCAGCAGGAAGUAGCUAAGAGCGGUCAUCACCCCUGUUCACCAUAACAUCCCAUGGUCGUUGCUCCACAAGGCAAAAAGAAGUUUGUGGAACAAGGGGUGGUGGGGGGGGAGGGGAUGAGGAGGAAACUGGUCUUACAAGGCGUGUCAGGUCAUAACAACUGUGAACAAUGCACUGCCCUGGGGCGGAGGGGAGGGUUGUUAUCACCGGCCCCGGGACAGAUCAUCGGAUAUGGCCUGGGGACCCCCAACACCUGGGGGCCUUCCUGUAAGCCCACAAAAGGGGGCGGAACCAUAUCUGCAAGACAAAGACCCCAGAAGGUUAUAAAAAGUUAAGCCCUCUGCAUGUUGCUUCAUUCUGAUUUGGAAAUUAUUCCUGGAGUCCAUUAGUGUUAAUAAACAGGGUCCCUCCCUUUCUCUAAGAA